GAAGAUCUCAGCCACCAUUCAGCUCUGAUCCGCCUGUACCCAGAGGGAAUCUGGGGGAGGAAGAACCAGGCUAUCAACACCACACCACCCUGACAGCAGCCCAGCUCUGGCAUCCUGGCUCCCCAUCUGGUUCAAAAUCAGAAUAAUGGAGCAUAUGCCCAGAGAGCCAUGGGUUAACCUGCACUUCCAACAUUGUUGGUGAUUGUUCUUCAGUCCCAAACCGAGAACUCCGGAUCUUUCCAAAGAGUGGGGUGUUCUGCUGCCGGCGGAGCCUACAGGGAC